rnacentral:rRNA from 1 species
GAUGAACGCUGGCGGCGUGCCUAAUACAUGCAAGUCGAGCGAACAGACGAGGAGCUUGCUCCUCUGACGUUAGCGGCGGACGGGUGAGUAACACGUGGAUAACCUACCUAUAAGACUGGGAUAACUUCGGGAAACCGGAGCUAAUACCGGAUAAUCUAUUGAACCGCAUGGUUCAAUAGUGAAAGACGGUUUUGCUGUCACUUCUAGAUGGAUCCGCGCCGCAUUAGCUAGUUGGUAAGGUAACGGCUUACCAAGGCAACGAUGCGUAGCCGACCUGAGAGGGUGAUCGGCCACACUGGAACUGAGACACGGACCAGACUCCUACGGGAGGCAGCAGUAGGGAAUCUUCCGCAAUGGGCGAAAGCCUGACGGAGCAACGCGGCGUGAGUGAUGAAGGUCUUCGGAUCGUAAAACUCUGUUAUUAGGGAAGAACAAAUGUGUAAGUAACUAUGCACGUCUUGACGGUACCUAAUCAGAAAGCCACGGCUAACUACGUG